AACGAACGCUGGCGGCAUGCCUAACACAUGCAAGUCGAACGAGACCUCCGGGUCUAGUGGCGCACGGGUGCGUAGCGCGUGGGAACCUGCCCUUAGGUUCGGCAUAACUCCCCGACAGGGGUGCUAAUACCGGAUAAUGUCUUCGGACCAAAGAUUUAUUGCCAUUGGAUGGGCCCGCGUUGGAUUAGCUAGUUGGUAGGGUAAAAGCCUACCAAGGCGACGAUCAAUAGCUGGUCUGAGAGGAUGAUCAGCCACACUGAGACUGAGACACGGCCCAGACUCCUACGGGAGGGAGCAAAGGGGGAUAGAGGACAGUGGGCGAAAGGAUGAUCCAGCAAGGCCGCGUGAAUGAUGAAGGCCUUAGGGUUGAAAAGCUCUUUUACCCGGGAUGAUAAUGACAGUACCGGGAGAAUAAGCUCCGGCUAACUCCGUG
rnacentral:rRNA from 1 species